UAUAACAGGAAAGAAUGCCAUAGAGACAGAUCACAGGAAGGAAAAGAGACAAAAUCUUCACAAAUGGGAGUGGAGACUUGCACUUGAAGAAAAAUGUUGCCUUUCUCAGACUUUGUUAGGUGAGAUUCAGUCUCUAACUUAGUGCUUCACUGUCUCUGUUCCUCACAGCAUGGGUUAAUCUGGUAUGAGAUACAAACCUAUUUCAAGGCAGGGACAAAUAUAGGCCUUCAAUUUUUUUUUUCUAAUUUGGUAUGGGUUAUCUAUAGAAGUGUAAAUGGUUCACAGCAAGAGACUGCUUUUCAGAGAAGUACACGUAAGAUACAGAAAUCUCUAGCUGUGUCUGUACCUUAACUUUGAAAAAGAGAAACUUUUAAAAGACCAUGUGCAAGAAAGGGUAAUGAGUGGAAAUGAAGAAAGACAAACCCAUCCUGCCCCACCUAGAGGACAAGUUACUGGUGUAACUUGCUGUUUUAAGGAAACAACAUAGGGAGAUCACAACUACCUCAAAAGAACUUUUCUGCAAACAAAUGAACAAUGAAGAAAAUGAAAGAGGGUAAUGGAACAGAAGAUGACAUUGGAUGAGAUGAGCCUCUGUGAAGAAAAGGAAAGAGUAACAGGCCAACGGGUAAGUUGGGGGCAGGUACAGCUGCAUAAGUUGGUGGAUGCAACAAGUGAGCAGAAAAUUGAGUGGUGAGAAGGAACCUACCAUGAAAAAUAAAUGUGAGGAGUAUGUAUUUCUGGCAGUGCAACUAAGAACUGGCAAGAUAAACUGCUGAGAUAAAGGUUCUAGAAAGGUGUGGUGCGUUCACAGCAUAAUGAACAGGAGGAGAGAGAGUUGUAAGAGGAAAACUCAGAGAGAUAAAAGUGAUGUACCAUGGGGAAAAGAUGGGUUUCAUUACUUUAGAUGGAGAGCGAUGGACAGGUUAGUAGCCUCUCAAUAAGAAGGCCUGAUUUACAAUUUUAUAGGACCAUUCCGGUUACCAAGUGGAAGGUGGUGUGAAGGGGUAUUGUGAGAAAAGCAGAAUGGCCUAGGGGCUCAGACAGGAGGUGCAAGCAGACAUGGGCCAAAGCCAUCAGAUUCAUAGCACAUUUGCAAGACACAGAUGAAAACUUGCUGCUGGACGAGAUGCAGGGUGUGAGUAGAUUAUCGAGGAAAAUGCUCUUCCAAAAGAAGUAAGCGAUAUAAAUGACGGAAGAUAUUACAAAACCCAACCCAAACUUAUUGCCAGUAUCAGAACUAACAAUUCUAACUUGAAUGAUUAUCCAUCCCCCUACCCUCUACAAGGAGUCAUUCAUGAGAGACCAUGAGUCUAAAACAUCACUAUUGAAUAGGAAAAAGCCUGAGCUCUUUCUCAAAAAGGGUACGUAUCCCAGACAUGUUUCAUAUCCUGCUUUGCUAAAAUUGCCUCUUUGUUUAAAAUUAUAAAAUCAUGUUUUGAACAAAUAAAAUUGAAAAUUCAUAUGCAAUAACUCUAUUGACAUGGGAAAAUAAAGUGUUUGUGUGAACAUGAUUCACUCACACUGCCUCUUCAGAUACGAACAAAUCAUUUUGUAGCAUUGGUUUAAUUCCAUCUUUCUCUCCAUAUUGUAAAGAUUAUCUUUCCAACUUCACUUCAGAAUAAUGGUUUGUUAUUAUUGUAAAUUGUAGCUCUUCUCCCCUUUUUUCUUAGUCAUUAUAUAGUAGCUGAUUAUCUCACUUUCUGCAGGGGUUGAGGUCCCCAUUUUUAUUUCCAAUUUGUGAUUUCCAGCUCCGUAUUUUAUAAUAUUAUAUUUUGUGCACUUGGCUAUUGCAAAAUGAUUUCCUAUUGUCUCUUUCGGGGGCAUAGAUUUGUAGCAAUUUAGCCUUUUUUAUCCGUUCUUCCCAGAAGGCAGUUUGCUGACAUUUAUGGAGUUUGAACUGUUACAGAGAGUGAGAUGUGCUUUGCAUAAGGACAUUUCUAUCAUUGUUCUUGAAGUUAAUGCUAUGUGGGCUCCAGUGGCCAUGCUUAAAUGGAGUGUGAGGUAUGAAUCAUUUCAUUUUGAUUUUUUCAGUGUAUCAGAAAAGGACAAGGAUAUAUUGCUAUGCUGCUGAUGGUACCAGAAAUUCUUAUCUGAUGAUGAUGAUGAUGAUGAUGAUGAUGAUGAUGAUAAUGUCCUAAUUAUGUUCUGCGUUCAGAGACAGGGGAAGCUUUUGGGUGACUAUCAUUAAUUUUCUAGCACUGGCAGAGACUAUCAAAUGGAAUAAGGAAGGGCAGCCUCAGAGGAAGGAAGUAAGGCCCUCCUGUAAUCAUAUGAGGUUGUCAGGAAUGAAUCACCCCUCUAACUCUUAUACUGAGCCUCUCGAUAGGGGCUAUGAGAUAUAUAGAGGUACUCAAUGUCUACUCUGUCAUUCUCCUUCCUCCCUGACAAACUGCUUUCCCAAAUACCAGAUAGGAAAAGGUCCAAAAACAGCAGCAAGAUUCAGGACUAUUGUUGCACAGGAAAUGUGGUUCUUGGAUCGAUAGAAAUAUCUGGAGACUCUGAAAAAGGCCAAGUGCUUUACUUCUGAUUGUUGAUGCUUGCGAGCAAACUGUGUGCAGUCCUUUUGAAGUCAACAGUUUAUCAGGGCAUUGCAGAUACACACUUCUUGGGCCUUUGCGUAUACACUCAUUGAGAGGCCAUUUGAUGUUAUAUCCUUGUCUUCUCUAGAGAAACGUAUUACAGAGAUGUCGAUUUGGGUAGUGUUUUUAUAAUUUUGCAAAUGAAUUAUUGCACAUUGCAUCUACUGUUACUCAUAAAAGCCCAUACAAUAUUCCUUGAAUUUUAAUUCGAGAAAUAGCAGGAGAUCAGGGGAAGAAAAAGAUUCACCCCUAGGAAUAAAUAUGUAUGUUUUCUCUUCUCAGCAAAAAGUAUACCUAUGUAGGUAAAUAAUGAAGAGAGAAUUACACACCUUUUAAGAGUCAUGUUUUUGUUGGUGGUGGUAGUGGUGGUUUUGAACAGAGUC